GAUGAACGCUGGCGGCGUGCCUAAUACAUGCAAGUCGAGCGAACGGACGAGAAGCUUGCUUCUCUGAUGUUAGCGGCGGACGGGUGAGUAACACGUGGAUAACCUACCUAUAAGACUGGGAUAACUUCGGGAAACCGGAGCUAAUACCGGAUAAUAUUUUGAACCGCAUGGUUCAAAAGUGAAAGACGGUCUUGCUGUCACUUAUAGAUGGAUCCGCGCUGCAUUAGCUAGUUGGUAAGGUAACGGCUUACCAAGGCAACGAUGCAUAGCCGACCUGAGAGGGUGAUCGGCCACACUGGAGCUUAGACACGGUCCAGACUCCUACGGGAGGCAGCAGUAGGGAAUCUUCCGCAAUGGGCGAAAGCCUGACGGAGCAACGCCGCGUGAGUGAUGAAGGUCUUCGGAUCGUAAAACUCUGUUAUUAGGGAAGAGCAUAUGUGUAAGUAACUGUGCACAUCUUGACGGUACCUAAUCAGAAAGCCACGGCUAACUACGUG
rnacentral:rRNA from 1 species